ACCCCGGCAAACCUUAGACCUUUCAGCAGUCAUCAUGAGGAAACACACGAGAGAAAAAUACCUUCCCUGGGAAGACAAAUGUGGGAGAACAAGUGCCAAAAUGCUGAUGGGCAGCCACAACACACCUCUGCCUCAGGCCACAGAAAUGACUGGCCCCUUUUGAGUACUGAAAGGCUACCGCAGGGUCUCCCUGGAGCCUUCUCUUCUCCAAGAUGAUCAACCCCAACUCUCUUGGCUUUCCUUCAUAAAAGAGGUUUUCCCAUCCUUUUCUGGCCUUCUCUGGACCCACUCAAACAGAUCCUGUGCUGAGGCUUCCAGAGCUGUGUGCAACACUGCAGGUGUCCAAGGAGGACUCUGUCUACUCUGCCUUUGAUCGCAAUCCAUGUGUUCCUGAUUCCAGUUCUCAUCUGACACCGAGUCCAGUCUGGGACUUUUUCAGUGCCUGUCCACGGCAUCACUGGCGACAGCAAGGAAAGGAAAUGGGUUAACAGAGAGCUUUUGUCACUCACUUAGUGGCUGUCCCAGUCCCAACCCUUGACAUUCUCAAGACCAUAAAACAGGGACCUGACCCAACAGCUGGCUUCUUUCUCCAUCGUGAUGAUCCUGAGCUUAAUCAGUCGAACCCAGAGCCCUCUGGAGAGUCGUUC